AUGAACGCUGGCGGCGUGCCUCAUACAUGCAAGUCGAGCGAACGGACGAGAAGCUUGCUUUUCUGAUGUUAGCGGCGGACGGGUGAGUAACACGUGGAUAACCUACCUAUAAGACUGGGAUAACUUCGGGAAACCGGAGCUAAUACCGGAUAAUAUUUUGAACCGCAUGGUUCAAAAGUGAAAGACGGUCUUGCUGUCACUUAUAGAUGGAUCCGCGCUGCAUUAGCUAGUUGGUAAGGUAACGGCUUACCAAGGCAACGAUGCAUAGCCGACCUGAGAGGGUGAUCGGCCACACUGGAACUGAGACACGGUCCAGACUCCUACGGGAGGCAGCAGUAGGGAAUCUUCCGCAAUGGGCGAAAGCCUGACGGAGCAACGCCGCGUGAGUGAUGAGGGUCUUCGGAUCGUAAAACUCUGUUAUUAGGGAAGAACAUAUGUGUAAGUAACUGUGCACAUCUUGACGGUACCUAAUCAGAAAGCCACGGCUAACUACGUG
rnacentral:rRNA from 1 species